UGUAGUAAUUACUGUAUUUAUGAAUUUAGCACCAAAAUAUCACGAUAUAUUGAAAACAUUGACUACAAAAAUGCGUUGGAUAAUCCAGAACGUUGGAUAAGCGAGUGUUGGAUAAGUGAGACUCUAUUGUAGUUCAAUACGCAGCAAUGUUAUGUAGUAAUUACUGUAUUUAUGAAUUUAGCACCAAAAUAUCACGAUAUAUUGAAAACAUUGACUACAAAAAUGGCUUGGAUAAUCCAGAACGUUGGUUAAGCGAGUGUUGGAUAAGUGAGACUCUAUUGUAGUUCAAUACGCAGCAAUGUUAUGUAGUAAUUACUGUAUUUAUGAAUUUAGCACCAAAAUAUCACGAUAUAUUGAAAACAUUGACUACAAAAAUGGCUUGGAUAAUCCAGAACGUUGGAUAAGCGAGUGUUGGAUAAGUGAGACUCUACUGUACCACUAUUAUGAGUAUAUCCCUCAUAAUAGGUUAUGAUCAAAUUUUCUAAGAUAGAACAACAGUGCGGAUCUGGUGGCAACACCUCCUUUCUCAGGAGGUUUUGAAGCAGAGGCUGGAUGGCCAUCUGCCGGGAGGGCUCAGGCGGUGUCUUCCUGCAUAAGGGCAGCUGGACUGCAUGGCCUUUGGGGGUCUCUUCCGACUCUGAGUUCAACCAGCUUGCCACCAUCUGGGAUCCUUUUGUGGUUCGGCAACCAGAACGAGAAGAAUCCGCCCCAGAUGAGAUUGCAACAUACACGGAACGCACACGCCAAGCGAGGGCACGCCCUGUGGACAGGCCUGGGGUUCAGGGGCAGGGCACUGCGGUCUCACUGGAUUGCACACUUGGAAGGGAUCCCUGGAGAUCAUCCUGCUCGGUGGAUCUCCGCUUUUCUAAUGCCACAACCCUUAAAACACUUCCUCAUGUGAUGGAGACUGUCAGAGUAAUUUACGCAGUCUAGGAUCUGGCCAGUCUAGGAACUGGUCAGUCUGGGCCCAUAACCAAUUGUCAGAGUAAUUUACGCAGUCUAGGAUCUGGCCAGUCUAGGAACUGGUCAGUCUGGGCCCAUAACCAAUUGUCAGAGUAAUUUACGCAGUCUAGGAUCUGGCCAGUCUAGGAACUGGUCAGUCUGGGCCCAUAACCAAUUGUCAGAGUAAUUUACGCAGUCUAGGAUCUGGCCAGUCUAGGAACUGGUCAGUCUGGGCCCAUAACCAAUUGUCAGAGUAAUUUACGCAGUCUAGGAUCUGGCCAGUCUAGGAACUGGUCAGUCUGGGCCCAUAACCAAUUGUCAGAGUAAUUUACGCAGUCUAGGAUCUGGCCAGUCUAGGAAAUGGUCAGUCUGGGCCCAUAACCAAUUGUCAGAGUAAUUUACGCAGUCUAGGAUCUGGCCAGUCUAGGAAAUGGUCAGUCUGGGCCCAUAACCAAUUGUCAGAGUAAUUUACGCAGUCUAGGAUCUAGCCAGUCUAGGAACUGGUCAGUCUGGGCCCAUAACCAAUUGUCAGAGUAAUUUACGCAGUCUAGGAUCUGGCCAGUCUAGGAACUGGUCAGUCUGGGCCCAUAACCAAUUGUCAGAGUAAUUUACGCAGUCUAGGAUCUGGCCAGUCUAGGAACUGGUCAGUCUGGGCCCAUAACCAAUUGUCAGAGUAAUUUACGCAGUCUAGGAUCUGGCCAGUCUAGGAACUGGUCAGUCUGGGCCCAUAACCAAUUGUCAGAGUAAUUUACGCAGUCUAGGAUCUGGCCAGUCUAGGAACUGGUCAGUCUGGGCCCAUAACCAAUUGUCAGAGUAAUUUACGCAGUCUAGGAUCUGGCCAGUCUAGGAACUGGUCAGUCUGGGCCCAUAACCAAUUGUCAGAGUAAUUUAUGCAGCACAGCAGCAGUUGGAUUGAGUCAGAGGAACUCAGCACGAAGAGACAUCAGAGACGAUCGUAAAACUAUAUACAGUAGAGUCUCACUUAUCCAAUGUUCUAGAUUAUCCAACGCAUUUUUGUAGUCAAUGUUUUCAAUACAUCUUGAUAUUUUGGUGCUAAAUUCGUAAAUACAGUAAUUACUAUGUAGCAUAACUUAUUAUUAUUAUUAUUGUUAUUACUAUGCAGAGGCUGGAUGGCCAUCUGUUGGGGCUGUUUUGAUUGUGCUUUUCCGGCACGGCAGAAAGGGGUUGGACUGGAUGGCCCUUGGGGAUUUCUUCCAAAUUCUAUUCAUUAUUAUUGUUAUUAUUAUUAUUAUUAUUAUUAUUAUUAUUAUUAUUAUUAUGACACAGCAAACAAGAUAGAUAUGCUGGAUUUCGUUUCACAAAAUCACAAGUCGAACACUUCCCAAGUGUCUAGGACUGUGUGAUGUAUUAUUAUUAUUAUUAUUAUUACUACUACUAUGUAGAGGCAGGAUGUCCAUCUGUCGGGGCUGCUUUGAUUGUGCUUUUCUGCACGGCAGGUGGGGCUGGGUGGCCCAUGUGGCCUCUUCCUCUUAAUUCUGUGUUGUGUUUUUUAGCCUAUUGUGUAUAUUUUAUUAUUGGUUUCUGUUGUUGUCCUUUGAUGUUUCAUAUUUUAUUAUCUCUUGUAUUUGGAUUUUGCUGUAAGCCAUUAUUAUUAUUAUUAUUAUUCCAGCCCUUUGUUUCUCUGGUUCUGUGGGCAGGCCGUGCUCCCGAGGUGGAGGGUUUGCACAGGCCAGCCGGCCAGUCCAGCGCUCGGCCCUUCCUUGUGUCCAGUCUCUCUCCCUGCCCCUCCUGAGGUCUUUUUGGACUCCAGAUUGCCCUUGACCAGUGACCAGUGAUUGCCUUUGACCAGUGACAGCCUCCCCGGCCGGCCUCCCAGUUUCCGCACCGCAUUCCCGUCCACCACGUGCACAUCCGGCCUGAGUCACGUCCUUCCUUCCUUCCUUCCUUCUCUCUCGUGCGAGGACGUCAAUGGUGCCGCAGCCUCCUUGGCUGAGUCAUGCGCAGCUCGCUCAGCUCGCUCGGCUCGGCACUCCACGCCGGUCUCCCCUGUGAUUCCUCUCCCAGAAGCCCCAUCCGUGUUGUCUCGUGGUGGACGGCCAAAGGGCAACAACCUCAGCUCGGUCAUCUCGGCUUCAGGCUCUAUGUGCUCCGUCCACAAACUCUCCUCCAGCGCCGUGUUUCAAAAACAUGUUGAUUUUCAAAGUAUUAUUUAUUGGGCAUAACUGACCGGGAUAUCCAUUCAGAUAUCUUAUUUAUAUACUUAACGACAGCCGUCAGAAUUAGUUUUGCUAAAAGGUGGAAGCAAAAGGAAACACCGGAUAUGGAAGAAUGGUAACAGAAAGCGAGAGAGAUCAAGAACAUGGAUAAAUUAACUUUUUUUUCUAAAGAAAAAUACAGGUAACCCAAUAAAAUACACAGACUGGUCUAAAGUAGAAGAAUUUGAAAGGAAAAGAAGUUGAAGGAUAUCAAUUAAAGAACAGAAGGACGAUUUAGUAUUUUAUGAAGAAGUAAAGAAUCAUUGACUCAGCCAAGAUAAAGGACAACAUUCUUUUUUUUGGUUAUUAUUAUUAUAACUGUGUUUUGAAAAGGAAGCCUCUUUGAGGAAUAUAGUUAAACGCCUUCAGGAAAGGAAGGGCUGAGAGUUACAUUGUGACUCUUCUAGUCUGGAGUGUUGGUUUUAAAUCCCAGGAGAAGUGGAUUUAAAAGUUUAAAUUGUCCUGUUUGUGUUUCCUUGGUGAAGGAACAUAUUUACACAGAAUCCAAUUUAUAAAACCAUCCUUUAUAAGAGAAAAGCCUGAAUUGUUAUUGAAACUGCUAUGCUUUUUGAUUGCUUAAAUUCAAAUAAACAACAAGUUCUCUAC